rnacentral:rRNA from 1 species
CCUACGGGUGGCAGCAGUGGGGAAUAUUGGACAAUGGGGGCAACCCUGAUCCAGCCAUGCCGCGUGUGUGAAGAAGGCCCUCGGGUUGUAAAGCACUUUCAGUGAGGAAGAACGCCUGGUGGUUAAUACCCAUCAGGAAAGACAUCACUCACAGAAGAAGCACCGGCUAACUCCGUGCCAGCAGCCGCGGUAAUACGGAGGGUGCGAGCGUUAAUCGGAAUUACUGGGCGUAAAGCGCGCGUAGGUGGCUUGAUAAGCCGGUUGUGAAAGCCCCGGGCUCAACCUGGGAACGGCAUCCGGAACUGUCCAGCUAGAGUGCAGGAGAGGAAGGUAGAAUUCCCGGUGUAGCGGUGAAAUGCGUAGAGAUCGGGAGGAAUACCAGUGGCGAAGGCGGCCUUCUGGACUGACACUGACACUGAGGUGCGAAAGCGUGGGUAGCAAACAGGAUUAGAUACCCCAGUAGUC